UACGUAGGUGGCAAGCGUUGUCCGGAAUUAUUGGGCGUAAAGCGCGCGCAGGCGGUCCUUUAAGUCUGAUGUGAAAGCCCACGGCUCAACCGUGGAGGGUCAUUGGAAACUGGGGACUUGAGUGCAGAAGAGGAAAGCGGAAUUCCACGUGUAGCGGUGAAAUGCGUAGAGAUGUGGAGGAACACCAGUGGCGAAGGCGGCUUUUUGGUCUGUAACUGACGCUGAGGCGCGAAAGCGUGGGAGCAACAGG
rnacentral:rRNA from 1 species